ensembl:lncRNA
CAACAUGGUAACUCGGCCAUGUCUCUUUAAAUGAAAAGUUAAAAAUAUACUGUAACCAUAGCUGGACUGGCCAUCGGGCAUACCGGGCAUUUCCCCGGUGGGCCGAUGGUGAUUUUUCGUUUUUAUGGGCCGAUGGGGUUUUUUUCUUCGUUUUUUUCCGUAACGGUAUAAACACUGAAAGGUGGUGGAUUGGCCAGAUGCUGGGAGAUGUGUAAAAAUAACUCAAUUGUUUGGUGGUGGCUAUUGCGGAGCUUCUACAGAUUCAGUAACAUUAGCAAGUGGUGGAGGCCAGCAGAUGCAACACGCUGGCAGGUGGAUGACGGAAAGGCAGGAGGAGCAGAGACCCGAGGCAGUGAACUGAACUUCAGGUUUUCACCACGUGUUGUAGAUAGUUCAGGAGGGUAACUCGACCAAGCAGUCUACUUUCAGAUUUUGUAUCUUUGAGGUUCAUAAUUGUCUCUGUGGGAUUGGCAGCACUUUCAAUAACAGCUGUGACAGUCAACAUGUGGACAAAAACUAAAGGGAAGAAAACACAGAUGGAUAAAAACACAGUAAGUACAAAACUCAGUAAUCCAACGUAACAAAAACUUCUAAAUGUUGUAUUUCUGAUACUGUAAACGACAUUUCAGAAAUUAUUUUGAAUUUGUUGAGCAAAAUGUGGUUCAGCAGACGACUGAGAGUCAGAAGUUUAUAAGUGAAAGGUUGUUGGUUUGAACCCCACAUGUGAGGGUUUGCUUUGGGAAAGUGGAUCAUUG